AGGAAAUAGAUACCCGGGUAGUCCCAGCCGUAAACGAUGCUCGCUAGGUGUCAGGCAUGGCGCGACCGUGUCUGGUGCCGCAGGGAAGCCGUGAAGCGAGCCACCUGGGAAGUACGGCCGCAAGGCUGAAACUUAAAGGAAUUGGCGGGGGAGCACAACAACGGGUGGAGCCUGCGGUUUAAUUGGACUCAACGCCGGACAACUCACCGGGGGCGACAGCAAUAUGUAGGCCAAGCUGAAGACUUUGCCUGAAUCGCUGAGAGGAGGUGCAUGGCCGUCGCCAGUUCGUACUGUGAAGCAUCCUGUUAAGUCAGGCAACGAGCGAGACCCGUGCCCACUGUUACCAGCAUGUCCUUUGGGAUGAUGGGUACUCUGUGGGGACCGCCGGUGUCAAAUCGGAGGAAGGUGCGGGCCACGGUAGGUCAGUAUGCCCCGAAUCUCCCGGGCUACACGCGGGCUACAAUGAAUGGGACAAUGGGUCCCUUCCCUGAAAAGGGUUGGUAAUCUCACAAACCCAUCCUUAGUUCGGAUUGAGGGCUGUAACUC
rnacentral:rRNA from 1 species